rnacentral:rRNA from 1 species
UACGGGGGGGGUAAGCGUUGUUCGGAAUUACUGGGCGUAAAGGGCUCGUAGGCGGCCAACUAAGUCGGACGUGAAAUCCCUCAGCUUAACUGGGGAACUGCGUCCGAUACUGGAUGGCUUGGAUUUGGGAGAGGGAUGCGGAAUUCCAGGUGUAGCGGUGAAAUGCGCAGAUAUCAGGAGGAACACCAAUGGCGAAGGCAGCACUCUGGGACGUGACUGACGCUGAGACGCGAAAGCGUGGGGAGCAAACAGG